CUCUGUUAAUUACUUCACUUCUGCUUUGAUACAAUCACUCGCCACCAUCCACGGCGGCAAUAUGCACAAACCCUUCAAAGGGUGUGAUGGCCAUUAAAAAAAAGUGUUGCCCUCCCAACCUCGCAUAUCUAAUCGAACUCUUCAAAUAUUAAUUAUCUCUUAAAUUUCUUCUCAAGUCUUAAUUCCUCAAAUACGAAGAGUUAAAAAUGUGUGAAUCAAGUUGAACCCUUGAAUUGAACUCCUAAAAUCAAAAUCGCAAACAGAUGUGAGUGCAACAGAUUACUCUCCCUUCCGCCCCUCCCGCGUCGCUCCCGCGAGCGACCGGGAGGUCUAACCCUAGCGCUGCCGGGUCGGGCUCCCUCUCCUCCCCCUCCCCUCGCCGUCGCCGGUGCGCGUCGUCGGGCUAAGCCCGGUCGGCGUUGGUGGUGGCGGGGUUCCUCACUCCCCCUCAAAGACGACGGCGCGAGCCGGGGUGUUCGAGCAGCGGCGGCGCGCGGGCAUAGGGCGCGUCGUCGUUGUGUCGGGCUUUUGAUGGUUGUGUUGCGAAUCGUGCGGCCGAACGAGGUGGGCUGCAGGUGGCGGCGUCCGUUGUUCGUUUUAAUCUUAUCAUGUUCAUGUAGUUAGAGUUGUCCGAGUGAAUCAGCAAGUUAGCUAGUCAAGUCAGCUGCUGCAUGCAGAGUGGUUUGUUGCAUGCACAAGUUAGUUACUGAGAUAAGUAACAACUUGGUCAAGUUAGUACACUGGGCAUGGGCAGCCCGGCCAGGCG
rnacentral:lncRNA from 1 species